UACGGGGGGGGUAAGCGUUGUUCGGAAUUACUGGGCGUAAAGGGCUCGUAGGCGGCCAACUAAGUCAGACGUGAAAUCCCUCAGCUUAACUGGGGAACUGCGUCUGAUACUGGAUGGCUUGGAUCCGGAAGAGGGAUGCGGAAUUCCAGGUGUAGCGGUGAAAUGCGUAGAUAUCGGGAAGAACACCCGUGGCGAAGGCGGUUCUCUGGGACGGUACUGACGCUGAGACGCGAAAGCGUGGGGAGCGAACAGG
rnacentral:rRNA from 1 species